rnacentral:pre_miRNA from 1 species
UAUCUACUCCCUUCGUCCGGAAAUACUUGUCGAAAAAAUGCAUAAAAAUGAAUGUAUCUAAAACUAAAAUACAUCUAGAUACAUCCAUUCCUCCGACGAGUAUUUCCGGACGGAGGGAGUAUUAU